rnacentral:tRNA from 1 species
ACCUGGAUGGCUUAGUCAGUGGAGCACGUGACUCUUGAUCACGGGGUUGUAGAUUCAAGUCCCACGUUGGGUG